rnacentral:rRNA from 1 species
AGCGAACGCUGGCGGCAGGCCUAACACAUGCAAGUCGAACGAACCUUUCGGGGUUAGUGGCGGACGGGUGAGUAACACGUGGGAACGUGCCUUUAGGUUCGGAAUAACUCAGGGAAACUUGUGCUAAUACCGAAUGUGCCCUUCGGGGGAAAGAUCUAUCGCCUUUAGAGCGGCCCGCGUCUGAUUAGCUAGUUGGUUGAGGUAAUGGCUCACCAAGGCGACGAUCAGUAGCUGGUCUGAGAGGAUGAUCAGCCACAUUGGGACUGAGACACGGCCCAAACUCCUACGGGAGGCAGCAGUGGGGAAUCUUGCGCAAUGGGCGAAAGCCUGACGCAGCCAUGCCGCGUGAAUGAUGAAGGUCUUAGGAUUGUAAAAUUCUUUCACCGGGGACGAUAAUAACGGUACCCGGAGAAGAAGCCCCGGCUAACUUCGU